rnacentral:rRNA from 1 species
UACGGGGGGGGCAAGCGUUGUUCGGAAUUACUGGGCGUAAAGGGCUCGUAGGCGGCCAGCUAAGUCAGACGUGAAAUCCCUCGGCUCAACCGGGGAACUGCGUCUGAUACUGGAUGGCUUGAGUGUGGGAGAGGGAUGCGGAAUUCCAGGUGUAGCGGUGAAAUGCGUAGAUAUCUGGAGGAACACCGGUGGCGAAGGCGGCAUCCUGGACCACGACUGACGCUGAUGCGCGACAGCGUGGGGAGCAAACAGG